AAUCAACGCUGGCGGCGUGCCUAACACAUGCAAGUCGAACGGGAAAGGUCCGCAAGGGCUGAGUAGAGUGGCGCACGGGUGAGUAACACGUGGACAACCUGCCUGGGAGUGGGGGAUAACACCUCGAAAGGGGUGCUAAUACCGCAUAACACUUGGCUGGGAGGCGGAGGUUGAAAGGAGCGAUUCGCUUCUGGAGGGGUCCGCGCCUGAUUAGCUAGUUGGUGGGGUAACGGCUCACCAAGGCGACGAUCAGUAGCCGUCCUGAGAGGGAGCACGGCCACACUGGAACUGAGACACGGUCCAGACUCCUACGGGAGGCAGCAGUGGGGAAUUUUGGGCAAUGGGGGAAACCCUGACCAAGCAACGCCGCGUGGGUGAUGAAGUAUCUUGGUACGUAAAACCCUUUCGGCAGGGACGAACGCAAUGACGGUACCUGCGGAAGAAGCUCCGGCUAACUCCGUGCCAGCCGCCGCCGUAAUAC
rnacentral:rRNA from 1 species